rnacentral:misc_RNA from 1 species
GAAAAAAAAAAAAAAAAAAAAGACGAAGAAGAAGAAAAAGGAAAACCCUGAAAUUCUGCUCAUGGUUGGCUCACUAAAUUGGCACCAGUGGGUUUUAUCAAGUCUUUAGAGGCCCACAUCACAAACUGAGGAGCUGAAGUAUUUGGCAUUUUUGUCCAACUCUAGACAUAGUGGUAAUUAGUCAAGUAGGCAAUGCUUGGAUGAGCACUUCAUUUCAUUUUAAAAGUUCUUGUUUCAGGUUAUAUCUCUUUUUACCCUCCCAAUGGCAUUGUUUGAUUGCUAAUACCAGUUGCAACAUUUACUGCAUGAUUUCUCAUUUUUAAUUGCCGUUGAAGAAAAACAG